UACGUAGGAUCCGAGCGUUGUCCGGAAUUACUGGGCGUAAAGAGCUCGUAGGUGGUUUGUCGCGUUGUCCGUGAAAACUCACAGCUCAACUGUGGGCGUGCGGGCGAUACGGGCAGACUGGAGUACUGCAGGGGAGACUGGAAUUCCUGGUGUAGCGGUGGAAUGCGCAGAUAUCAGGAGGAACACCGGUGGCGAAGGCGGGUCUCUGGGCAGUAACUGACGCUGAGGAGCGGAAGCGUGGGGAGCGAACAGG
rnacentral:rRNA from 1 species